rnacentral:misc_RNA from 1 species
GAUGAAGAACGCAGCGAAAUGCGAUAAGUAAUGUGAAUUGCAGAAUUCAGUGAAUCAUCGAAUCUUUGGACGCACAUUGCGCCCGCCAGCAUUCUGGCGGGCAUGCCUGUUCGAGCGUCAUUUCAACCCUCGAGCCCCCCCGGGGGCCUCGGUGUUGGGGGACGGCACACCAGCCGCCCCCGAAAUGCAGUGGCGACCCCGCCGCAGCCUCCCCUGCGUAGUAGCACACACCUCGCACCGGAGCGCGGAGGCGGUCACGCCGUAAAACGCCCAACUUUCUUAGAGUUGACCUCGGAUCAGGUAGGAAUACCCGCUGAACUUAAGCAUAUCAAUAAGCGGAGGA